UACGGAGGGUGCGAGCGUUGUUCGGAAUCACUGGGCGUAAAGGGCGUGUAGGCGGUCCGCUAAGUCUGAUGUGAAAGCCCGGGGCUCACCCCCCGGAAGGGCAUUGGAAACUGACGGACUCGAGUCCCGAAGAGGAGGGUGGAAUUCCUGGUGUAGCGGUGAAAUGCGUAGAUAUCAGGAGGAACACCGGUGGCGAAGGCGGCCCUCUGGACGGUGACUGACGCUGGAGACGCGAAAGCGUGGGGAGCAAACAGG
rnacentral:rRNA from 1 species